rnacentral:rRNA from 1 species
AACGUAGGAGGCGAGCGUUAUCCGGAUUUACUGGGCGUAAAGCGCGUGUAGGCGGUAUGAUAAGUUGGAUAUGAAAGCUCCUGGCUUAACUGGGAGAGGUUGUUCAAUACUGUCGUACUUGAGGAUGGGAGAGGGAGGUGGAAUUCCGGGUGUAGUGGUGAAAUGCGUAGAUAUCCGGAGGAACACCAGUGGCGAAGGCGGCCUCCUGGCCCAUUUCUGACGCUCAGACGCGAAAGCUAGGGUAG